rnacentral:rRNA from 1 species
ACUGAACGCUGGCGGAAUGCUUUACACAUGCAAGUCGAACGGUAGAGGGGCAACCCUUGAGAGUGGCGAACGGGUGAGUAAUGUAUCGGAACAUGCCCAGUCGUGGGGGAUAACGUAGCGAAAGUUACGCUAAUACCGCAUACGAUCUAUGGAUGAAAGCGGGGGAUCGCAAGACCUCGCGCGAUUGGAGUGGCCGAUAUCAGAUUAGGUAGUUGGUGGGGUAAAGGCCUACCAAGCCGACGAUCUGUAGCUGGUCUGAGAGGACGACCAGCCACACUGGGACUGAGACACGGCCCAGACUCCUACGGGAGGCAGCAGUGGGGAAUUUUGGACAAUGGGCGCAAGCCUGAUCCAGCCAUUCCGCGUGCAGGAAGAAGGCCUCCGGGUUGUAAACUGCUUUUGUACGGAACGAAACGGUGCUCUCUAAUACAGGGCGCUAAUGACGGUACCGUAAGAAUAAGCACCGGCUAACUACGUGCCAGCCGCCGCCGUAAUAC